rnacentral:lncRNA from 1 species
UGAAAGCUGAGUUUCAGAGCCUGCUGUGCUCAAAGUCACUUUUAAACCAACUCUUCACUUUGUGGCACGGAUGUAGCCUGAGGGUUUCAGCAUGCUGAAGGCACACAGCUGAGUGCCUGAGGACUGCUUACAUCACCUAACACGACCUCAGUGGUCAAUCUGUGGUUAGCACUGAGUCACAGUGAGCAUUUAAAACCACUUGCUCUGGUGGGCUCCUGCUUACUUUCACUAGCGACACGUGCUGCAAAACUGAAACCAACAAAGGUUUUGCCUCAGAAGAGGAGAAGGCAGGGAGAAGCAAGAGUGAACAAGUUGAAUGUGAAAUCAGUGCUGCUGUGGAGUAUAAAGAACCAAUGACUGAAGAAAUCUACUUUGGAACACACCCUGAAAGAAUUGUGGUUCUGCUGUAUGGAUCUGAGAAGCCCCGCUCUGCAGAGAGGAUACUAGCAGUUGAACAGUGCUGUUGCUGUCAGUGGGAUUACUUAUGCUGA